AUGGUGUCUCUUCUUGUUGAUCUCGCCAAUGGUCAGGGUGUUAACAAUGCUAAGGGGCUGCUGGAAACACAAAACAAGAACAAGCAGACAGCCUUGCACGAGGCCGUCCGCUCCGGGGACAAUGAUAUGGUCAAGUUGUUCAUGGGGGUGAACCCACAACUGGCCCGUUUUCCUGAACAAGGUACUUCGCCGUUGUACUUGGCCAUCUUACUGGAAAACAAAAUCAUCGCAAAUACACUCUACGAGUUGAGCGGCGGGGCUAUUUCAUAUUCUGGACCAAGUGGACAAAAUGCAUUACAUGCUGCUGUUCUCCGAGGCAAAGUAAAAAUUCAGCGUCAAAUACUACCGGUGACCGUCGUCAAGCACCACCACCUCCAUCUCUGCCACCUCUUCUCAUGUGUCGUCUCCGGUCAAUCUACAUCGCCUGAGGUCACCUACAUUCGACGUCCAGUGGCGUCUCCGGGUCACUGA
rnacentral:rRNA from 1 species